ACCCGGUCGAACGGACAAAAAUUACUCACAGUGUCACACCUUUUGUUACCCUACAUGUGGGUUUCUCUUUAUGUAAUGCAGUUGGGUUGGCUAUUGAUACAGUUUUGGGCUUUGUUCACUAUUUCAAUUAUGGGCUAGGCCCAUCGGAUACCACACAUAAACCCUUCUAGCAUUUCUUCUCUCAACCAACAUCCACGCGCUCACACUUCUCAGUCUCACACGCAGUCACUUGGACUAUUUCGCUCUUUCCCGUCUGCCUGCUCUCACUCUUUCCGUCUACUUGUUAUGCUUCCGUAGCUCUUGUUUUUCACAGGUUCCUAUUGGUGUUGGUGAUGCUCGUUCCUAUUUAUGUGUGCUAUUUGGGUGUACAAGUUGAUAUCGGAGUUGUAGCAGCGAGAGCUUCACACUGCUGCCUUGAACUUAAAAUCCGGUGAUUUAUGGUCGUAUAUAUCUCAUUAAUGACUCCUUACCUCUUCGAUUGUACAAUUUUCAUUUUAUCUUCGAUGCGUCUGUUAUAACACGUUAUUGUUUACGCCUCCUUGAACACCGAUCCCUUUAGACGAGAGAUUUUUUGUAAGUUUUGGAAUUUUGGUUGCAGUAAAAAAGAACACUGAUCACUCACCUGGUGAUGGUGGUGGUGGCGGCCCAGCCUAUAUGCUCAAGUGCCCCAACUGUGUUGAACAAGCGCCUCUUGUUUAUUUCCUCUACAAGUUUUUGAUGCAGCAACUGGCUAUGAAUGUUUACCAUCGACCUGCUUCUUCUAACCAUUUGUUGAUGAUGGUGGUGGUCGUAUUGAUGAUGAUACCCUCCUUGUCCCUUGAUCACUUUGGCCUUGCUUGCCGUUGCUGCUUCAGGGCAGAACCUUGUGCAUUUCUUAACCUUGGAAUUGAUGAUGCCUUGGAAGAAAUAUUCUUCAUCCUCAUUUACUGAAUAAUCAGAGGGGUAACUUUUAUUGGUGCAAAAUGAUGAUGCGCUCUCAGAACCGUAAUGGUCAUGGACAGUUCUAGUACUUGCCUCCGCCUCCUCCUCCUCCACCUCUAGUUCUGCUGCAUGAAUCACAACUCACAAGUAUUAUUGUUCUUAUUCUUCUUCUUAUUAUUAUUAUUAUUAAGACAGUGCAGUCAUCGUCAAAAAGACCUGCUGGCAAUGGCAUCAGGGAAGCCUGGGAGGAAGAAAAAGAAGACGAUGACACUGAGAUUGCGUAGAAAUCUGGGUGGGGAGGGAUGUUGUUGUUGCUGUUGCUGUCAUUGUGGUCGUCAUCAUCAUAUUUGAAACUGUGCUGCUGGAGGAUUGAAUUUGAAUUUGAAUCUGAAUCCUUCCAUGUCCAGUUCCAGGAGGGAACCAAGGCGGAGAUUUCUUCUUCAAUCAUAUUUGCAAUCUCAAAUGGCUCCCAAUCUUCUAUCUCUAACUCCUCAACCAUUUCUGCUGCAACCUCCAACGAAGUGUCACUCGUGAUGUCAAAUGGGAAGUACACAUUUCUUCGAGGACCUGAUCCAUCUCAUUAAUUCAUUAUCGUCACAAGCAUGCAUGACAUGACAUCCCAUGAUCAUAAUUUAAAAAUCUCAUCAGGUGUUUUUGUUUUAAUUAAUGUCACAUUACAUUACAGUACAGUGCUACUACACAUACCAUCUUUAUGGGAGAUCUGCACUUUGAGAUAAAUGGCGUCAUCCUGUGGAUUCAUAGUCCCUGUGAUUGACAUGGCAGUGGCAGUCGCAGUCGCACUUGCAGUGGGAGAUGAUACCAUAGCGCAGGCUGCUGCGGGAGAUUCUUCGUCAAUGGAAAGGAAGGGGUCCAUCAAAAGUUCACGAGCUGAUGGCCUCUCAGGAGCCUUCUCCAAGCACCUACGCACAAACCUCCGAGCCUCACCAUCAUUGAUCCUGGUUCGAACACUCGUUGUAUGGAUACUCACAAGUAAGCAUCUCCAGAACGCACAUGCCAAAGGAGUAAAUAUCCACGAGCUCAUCAUAGUCCUCUUCGUAUAGUUCUGGUGCCAUGAACUCCGGCGUACCUAUGACACUGUGGGCAUGGUGCGAUCCAACAAGCAUGGCUGCUAGCCCCAGGUCGCCAAUCUUAACUUGGCCAAGAUGGCCAUUGACAAAGAUGUUGUCGCACUUGAGGUCCCGGUGGAUCACCGGAGGGUCGUGACUGUGCAAGUAGUUGAGACCCUCCAGAAUUUGGCGAGCCCAGUCCUUAAUUGCUGCGAUGCUGAGGCGCUGAUAUUUCUUCCUGUACUCUCGGAGGGUGCCGGAAGUAAACA